rnacentral:rRNA from 1 species
CUGCGGCGUGCCUAACACAUGCAGUCGAACGAUGAACCACUUCGGUGGGGAUUAGUGGCGAACGGGUGAGUAACACGUGGGCAAUCUGCCCUGCACUCUGGGACAAGCCCUGGAAACGGGGUCUAAUACCGGAUACUGAUUGUCUUGGGCAUCCUUGAUGAUCGAAAGCUCCGGCGGUGCAGGAUGAGCCCGCGGCCUAUCAGCUUGUUGGUGAGGUAACGGCUCACCAAGGCGACGACGGGUAGCCGGCCUGAGAGGGCGACCGGCCACACUGGGACUGAGACACGGCCCAGACUCAUACGGGAGGCAGCAGUGGGGAAUAUUGCACAAUGGGCGAAAGCCUGAUGCAGCGACGCCGCGUGAGGGAUGACGGCCUUCGGGUUGUAAACCUCUUUCAGCAGGGAAGAAGCGAAAGUGACGGUACCUGCAGAAGAAGCGCCGGCUAACUACGUGCCAGCAGCCGCGGUAAUACGUAGGGCGCAAGCGUUGUCCGGAAUUAUUGGGCGUAAAGAGCUCGUAGGCGGCUUGUCGCGUCGGUUGUGAAAGCCCGGGGCUUAACCCCGGGUCUGCAGUCGAUACGGGCAGGCUAGAGUUCGGUAGGGGAGAUCGGAAUUCCUGGUGUAGCGGUGAAAUGCGCAGAUAUCAGGAGGAACACCGGUGGCGAAGGCGGAUCUCUGGGCCGAUACUGACGCUGAGGAGCGAAAGCGUGGGGAGCGAACAGGAUUAGAUACCCUGGUAGUCACGCGUAACGGUGGGCACUAGGUGUGGGCAACAUUCACGUUGUCGUGCGCAGCUACGCAUAGUGCCCGCUGGGAGUACG